GAUGAACGCUGGCGGCGUGCCUAAUACAUGCAAGUCGAGCGAACAGACGAGGAGCUUGCUCCUCUGACGUUAGCGGCGGACGGGUGAGUAACACGUGGAUAACCUACCUAUAAGACUGGGAUAACUUCGGGAAACCGGAGCUAAUACCGGAUAAUAUAUUGAACCGCAUGGUUCAAUAGUGAAAGACGGUUUUGCUGUCACUUAUAGAUGGAUCCGCGCCGCAUUAGCUAGUUGGUAAGGUAACGGCUUACCAAGGCAACGAUGCGUAGCCGACCUGAGAGGGUGAUUGGCCACCCCGGAACUGAGACAAGGUCCCGACUUCCAAGGGAGGCCACCAUAGGGAAUCUUCCGCGAUUGGGGAAAACCUGACGGAGCAACCCCGCGUUAAUGAUGAAGGUUCUCGGAUCCUUAAACUCUGUUAUUAGGGAAAAACCAAUGUGUAAGUAACUAUGCACGUCUUGACGGUACCUAAUCAGAAAGCCACGGCUAACUACGUG
rnacentral:rRNA from 1 species